rnacentral:rRNA from 1 species
UGCCAGCCGCCGCGGUAAUACGUAGGGUGCAAGCGUUAAUCGGAAUUACUGGGCGUAAAGCGUGUGUAGGCGGUUCGGAAAGAAAGAUGUGAAAUCCCAGGGCUCAACCUUGGAACUGCAUUUUUAACUGCCGAGCUAGAGUAUGUCAGAGGGGGGUAGAAUUCCACGUGUAGCAGUGAAAUGCGUAGAUAUGUGGAGGAAUACCGAUGGCGAAGGCAGCCCCCUGGGAUAAUACUGACGCUCAGACACGAAAGCGUGGGGAGCAAACAGGAUUAGAUA